GGCCGGUUGGCCCAACGACAAGGCGUCUGACUACGAUUCAUCGUGUCAUCAGGAGAUCCUGGGUUCGGCCCCCAGGCUGGUCG
rnacentral:tRNA from 1 species